GUGACCCUAAAAGCUCCUUUCUGCCCUCGUUACCUGUUCCCAGGGCUCCCAGCAUGGGGCAGGUGGGUGGGAGCAGCUGAAGCCUAUAAAGGGCUGAUAGGGGAAGUCAUGGAGGAGCCCCAAAGCCUGGCUGCAAGAGAAGGGAUGGUGUGGGGUCACCACGGCUGGCUCGAAAUUUAUGAAGAUGCUGCGCGUUCCCCUGCAGAGGACUAAAUAGCUUCUCGAAAAGAGAGCAAAUGCUUUCAGUUCAGACCUCGGGUCCUGGGCUGCUGCUGUAAAUAAGAGCAAGGCUUCCUCCCCAUGCAGCGAGUGAGCUGUGGGGCUUUUGUACCAAAGGUGCUUUCAGAGCAGCGAAGCAGGGACGAACGUUUCUGGAGUCUCCAGCUGCUCACCAGCGCUUCGCAAACAAGAUCAUCCCGUGGGCCCGCGUGUCAGCUGGAAGCCUCCUUCAAUCUGUGUAUUAAAAAUAACCAGCUUUAAAGCCACAGUGUUCGAAACCGCUUUGUUUUCCACAAGUGGCAGGAAGCUACCAAACAAAGCCCACUUAUUUUUCACAGCUCCAUCCCCACAGUUAUUAAAUCCUCGGCGCUAUUGAAUCCUGGAGAAGUUUGUGGGGCUGCGCGCAAGCAGCGCUCGCAAGCCAUAAUAUCCCUGUGAGUAGUGUGUGCUCUUUGUGUCUCCUUCCUG